rnacentral:misc_RNA from 1 species
AUAACUUGCCCACCAUACAGCACUGGAUGGGGAGUAUGUUAGAACAGACAGACUGAAUCCUCUAUAUAGUCCACGUAUACCUUCUGACUUCAGAACUUUGCGAGCAACAUCCAAGCCUCCAUUGUAGCUUGCAUGUCCUGAGUAUCCUUGCACCAUUAACCUUUGACUAACUAUGUCAAUUGGAACAAAGACGGAUUGUGAACAAAGAGACGCCAGCAUGCCAGCAACACCAUUUGCUAUAGCUGCCUGUACAGGUUCUGAUAGCUUGAAUGGUUCCACCAUCUUAAAUGCAGUCACCUUAGUGGUCUCUAGUGCUGUGAGAAAUAUAAUUCUGGCAGGAACCGCCCCUGUAAUGACAGUUCCAAAUCCUCUAUAUAAACCGGGAAUACCAUCAUUUCGCACUAGGCCCCUGACAACAGAAAAUGCACUCUCUUUUGCAGCAUUAUUGGUUGCCACCUGCAUUCUAGUCUUGAUGACAGAAAUGGGGUAUAGUGCAACAGUAAGCCCUGUAAAUAUCCCAGCUCCUACGACAUAGAACCUAGUCUUAUCAAGCUUGUCCCAGUUAAUCUCGGUUUGUUGAAAUGGCUUCCUUGUAGAUCCAGCAACCUCCAUUAAAAAAAAUUACAACUGUUCAAAACCCUAACUCGGCUUAUAAGCAAGUCGUUAAAUUUUGCAAAUGGAGAGUAAUCGGAGAAGUUUCUUGGAGGAAAAGCACCGACCAAAUGGUCAAUAU